CUGUAGCAACAGUAAUAUAAUUUGUAGUUACCUGACAGAGUAAUGAGUUCUGGCAAUCCCUUUUUGCUAGAAAGCGAUCGCAAAAGGGAAAAGCAAGCAGUUGAGUUUGAAAAUCAUGUUUCAAGGGGAAAUUAAUGAAUUUUGCUUCUAAGUGCACUUUUAAAUUGAUCAUAAAGAAAAAAAUAAACUAACACACCAGUCUAACAGAAUGGUGAGUAGUUCAUAUGUAACUUUUUUGAUUCUCAACCCAUUGCUUAAAAAUGUUCUUUAUAAUCUAGAACUUCAUUGUGUGUGUUUUACUAAGUAUUCUGGGAAACUUUUCACAUAAAUUUAUUUGUACCAUGGUCUAUUAAAAAAAACUGAAGGUAAA